ensembl:misc_RNA Metazoa_SRP Metazoan signal recognition particle RNA
GCCAGGUGUGGUGGUGCAUGCCUGUAGUCCCAGAUACCUUGGGGGGCUGAGGCGGGAGGAUCGCUUGAACCUGGGAGGUUGAGGCUGCAGUGAGCCCUAAUCAUGCCACUGCACUCUAGCCUAGGUGAUAGAGUGAGACCCUGUUUCAA